GACGAACGCUGGCGGCGUGCUUAACACAUGCAAGUCGAACGGAAAGGCCCUGCUUUUGUGGGGUGCUCGAGUGGCGAACGGGUGAGUAACACGUGAGUAACCUGCCCUUGACUUUGGGAUAACUUCAGGAAACUGGGGCUAAUACCGGAUAGGGGCUCCUGCUGCAUGGUGGGGGUUGGAAAGUUUCGGCGGUUGGGGAUGGACUCGCGGCUUAUCAGCUUGUUGGUGGGGUAGUGGCUUACCAAGGCUUUGACGGGUAGCCGGCCUGAGAGGGUGGCCGGCCACAUUGGGACUGAGAGACGGCCCAGACUCCUACGGGAGGCAGCAGUGGGGAAUAUUGCACAAUGGGCGGAAGCCUGAUGCAGCAACGCCGCGUGCGGGAUGACGGCCUUCGGGUUGUAAACCGCUUUCGCCUGUGACGAAGCGUGAGUGACGGUAAUGGGUAAAGAAGCACCGGCUAACUACGUG
rnacentral:rRNA from 1 species